AUUGAACGCUGGCGGCAGGCCUAACACAUGCAAGUCGAGCGGAUGAAGGGAGCUUACUCCUGGAUUCAGCGGCGGACGGGUGAGUAAUGCCUAGGAAUCUGCCUGGUAGUGGGGGAUAACGUCCGGAAACGGGCGCUAAUACCGCAUACGUCCUGAGGGAGAAAGUGGGGGAUCUUCGGACCUCACGCUAUCAGAUGAGCCUAGGUCGGAUUAGCUAGUUGGUGGGGUAAAGGCCUACCAAGGCGACGAUCCGUAACUGGUCUGAGAGGAUGAUCAGUCACACUGGAGCUGAGACACGGUCCAGACUCCUACGGGAGGCAGCAGUGGGGAAUAUUGGACAAUGGGCGAAAGCCUGAUCCAGCCAUGCCGCGUGUGUGAAGAAGGUCUUCGGAUUGUAAAGCACUUUAAGUUGGGAGGAAGGGCAGUAAGUUAAGACCUUGCUGUUUUGACGUUACCAACAGAAUAAGCACCGGCUAACUUCGUG
rnacentral:rRNA from 1 species